CGCACAUAGGCCUAAUUGGCUUUCAACUAGGCAGUUUAGUUUCGUGGAAAGGUGCGCAAAUUUUCUUUAUCUGAUAAACCCUCCUGGUUUACAUAUAAUACAAAAAACGUGACACGUACAGGUUGUAAUUUCAUAUGUGCAUUCGCAUGCGUCGUUCGCAUGUGUUACAAAUUUGUAAUUUGUAUUAUUGCAGUAUAUUAGAAUUAGGUGGCAGAAUUCAAAGGCGGGCCCAGUAUUUAAAAAGCAGCUUCGUUCCGAAAAAAAAAAAUCAGUUCGGUUUCAGAUGCCGGUGCGAGGAGGAUUCCCUCCCCAGUAUUGUCGGCUCUCUUCUGGAAGUAACGGUAUAGCAAAUUCAGUACUCUCCAGAAUCAGGGUCCGAGCUAGAGGUCGAAUUCUCUGGUAGUCGAAAUAUAUGUGACACCGCUACCUUCAGUUUAGUUUCACACACUAGGCGCCGGUACUUUUUUAGGUUUCGUCUUUUUAUUACCGGUAGGUCCCUAUUUCAUUUCAUUUUAACAUUAUUAGUAAGGUUACUUUAUACUUAUAGUUACACUCCUUUGCUUGUUGUUUACUUUCUUGCCAGUGUUUUUAAUUUUAGUUUGGUUUAUUGACUUUUAAACUGCUUAGACGUACAUAACAGUACAUCACAACCUUGGAUAUUAAAAAGUAGGUAAUGCUAUUAAUUUUACUUAAAUUUUCGUACCGUAUAAUGUUACAAUGGUUUAAAAGGGUUGUUGAUAUAAUUAUGUAGGUAAGAAAUAGCUUUAUUUUUACUACUAAUGCUGCAUGCUUUAUGUUUCCCUCUUCGAUAUACCCUUGAUCUUAAAGCAGAAAUAGCUUAUAUUUUGUCUAUAUUAUAUUACAUAAAUCAAGGUAGCGGUUAACACGUCUGUUAAAUUAUAGGCUAUAGGCCUAUAAAUCAUCGAAGAAAAGUAAAUACAGUGUUCGAAUAAAGAACAUGAAAAUA